rnacentral:rRNA from 1 species
CCUACGGGAGGCAGCAGUGAGGAAUAUUGGUCAAUGGUCGGGAGACUGAACCAGCCAAGCCGCGUGAGGGAGGAAGGUACAGAGUAUCGUAAACUUCUUUUGUCAGGGAACAAAGGCGGGGACGUGUCCCCGGAUGAGUGUACCUGAAGAAAAAGCAUCGGCUAACUCCGUGCCAGCAGCCGCGGUAAUACGGAGGAUGCGAGCGUUAUCCGGAUUUAAUGGGUUUAAAGGGUGGGGAGGCGGUUUGUUAAGUCAGCGGUCAAAGCCCGGGGCUCAACCCCGGCCCCGCGGUUGAAACUGGCAGUCUCGAGUUGGAGAGAGGUAUGCGGAAUGCGCGGUGUAGCGGUGAAAUGCAUAGAUAUCGCGCAGAACUCCGAUUGCGAAGGCAGCAUGCCGGAUCCACACUGACGCUGAGGCACGAAAGCGUGGGUAUCGAACAGGAUUAGAUACCCUUGUAGUC